ACUUGACCCCUAUCAAGUCAGUGUCAGAUCUUCUCACGUUCUCGUGCAUCUAGGCUUGGAAUCAUGCGCGCAGAGGUCAGUCGCUUAAUAUGGAGACGCAAGGAGUGGACAGGCUACUGCCCACGGUGAACGCUAGUCUAGUUCUGUAAUGUAGCGAGCGCAUUUGAGCGCUUCUCAUUUUAACGCGGAAACAUAGCAAUUGUAGUUAAGGAUGCCGUUAUGCCUUGUUAUGAAGCAUGAAGGGAACUAAAUGAUGUGUGCGUUUUUUAUUGAUAGUUUUUUAUCAAAAUAGCAGACUCAAGGUUUGUUUAUGUUCAGAAACCACGAUUAUCAGGAGUAUCUUGAGUGUUCCAAAGCAGCUUUCGGUGGUCUGAAGACGGUUUCCAGCUGCAGAAAUGGCCACUGCACGCCUGGAUUACAUUGCUCCAUGGUGGACUUACUGGCUGCACAAUUUUCCUCACAUCAACCUGACAUUCGUCUACGUUGACAAUACUUUCAGACCUGAGGACGAGAAUUAUCAGCAGUCCCUGAUCCUGCUGGCCUGUGUGGGGGUGCUGGGCCUGGGCCUGAGCCUGCUCCUGUUGGCCAUCUACCUCAGCUGUCUGUGCUGCUGCCACAGGGAGGAGGAGGAGGACAGCAAGCGUCCCGACGCCUGCUGUGUCACCUGGGCUGCGGUCAUCACAGGCCUCAUCAUCUGCUCCGCCGUAGGAGUGGGUUUCUAUGGUAACAGUGAAACCAAUGAUGGGGUGUACCGGCUGACCUACUCCCUCUACAAUGCCAACCACACACUGGGUGGGAUCGACAGCCUGGUGUCCGGUUCUCUGGGCAGCAUGGAGACGGGACUGAAGCAGCACCUCGACCGCUUGGGCGAGAUCUUCGCGGCGCGAGGGGACUUCAUCCAGGCCCUGCGCUUCAUGCAGCAGAUGGCCGACAACGUGGUCAGACAGCUGACCAACCUGCCGGACAUAAGCAAGGCCAAGGUGGACCUGACCGCCCUUGCCGACCAGACAGGACACAUUGAGUACUACCGGUGGCUGACCUACCUGCUGCUGCUGAUCCUGGACCUGGUCAUCUGCCUGGUCACAUGCCUGGGCGUGGCCAAGCAGUCCCGCUGGCUCCUCGCCACGAUCAUGGUGUCUGGCUUCUUGACUCUGAUGCUGAGCUGGACGUCCCUGGGGAUGGGCACUGCUACAGCUGUGGGCACCAGUGACUUCUGUGUGUCUCCAGACAAGUUCAUUGCUAACCAGACUAAAGACUUCCUCAGUGCAGAUGUAGCUCACUACUAUCUGUACUGCAGUCCCAAUCUCCCCAACCCAUUCCAACAGUCGUUGACCAUCUACCAGAGGUCUCUGACCACUAUGCAGAUCCAGGUCCAGGGGCUGCUGCAGUUCUCUGUGGCUGUGUUCCCCACGGCAGAGAGAGACCUCCUGGGCAUCCAGCGGUUGUUGAACUCCACCGAGUUCAAUUUGCAUCAGCUGACAGCCUUGUUGGACUGUCGCGGGUUACAUAAGGACUACCUAGAUGCCCUCAUGGGUGUGUGCUAUGAUGGGGUGGAAGGGCUCCUGUACCUCUGUCUGUUCUCCCUGCUGGCGGCCAGUGCCUUCUCUGCCAUGCUGUGUGCCAUCCCCCGUGCCUGGACUCUCAUCACGAGCAGGGACAGGGACUAUGAUGACAUUGACGAGGAGGAUCCGUUCAACCCGCAGGCUCGCCGCAUGCCCUACAACCCCAGCAGGGCCCACAUCCACAGCUUCUGCAGCUACAGCAGUAGCCUGGGCAGCCAGACCAGCCUGCACCCGCCCCCUCAGGCCACCUCCACCAUCCCCUCCACCGAGUACAUGAACCAAUCCAUGCUGUACGGGGGGAACCCUCGCUAUGAGAACGUGCCUCUGAUUGGGAGAGGAUCCCCGCCCCCCUCGGUGCGUUGGCCUCUAGAGGCCAGGUCACUUGUGUGAUAGCCUGGCACCUGUAACACAGUACACCAGCACCACCACCAGACAGAAUCCUAGUCAUUCUCACUCCUCUGCUGUUUUGUUGCCAGUCACAGCACAUCCUACUACUGUAUAACCCGACAGUGAAACCUUGAUUGCACUAUCAGUGAUAUACUGCUCUCUGCUGGCCCUAGACUGAAGUGGCGUAUAUGCAGGUUCUCUUGUCUUCAUCCUAUUUGUCAUUAUGUCCAUAUGUCCCUUUUACCCUAAGCUGUCAAUAUUACAGAGUAGAGAUUAAUAUUUUGAUGUUUGGACUUUAUGUUUACAUCCUUUGACCUCCUGGUAAAGGACCAGGUUGAAGUAGCGGAGCCCUAUGGAAAAAAAACGUGAGCUGUCUGCUCUAAUUUCCCUGGAAUCUCUUGUUUUAAUGGGAUCUGUGAUAGUCCAUCAGCAUUCUGGCCCCAAAGCUGAAGCAGCAUUAAAGAUGAGCCUAUUUAAUCCGUAGCCAAGACGGCUGGUAUGGAGGAUCAGUCACCCGCUGACCUGGUUCAGACCCAGGCCAAGCCACGUCGACCUACCUACAUAGGAUCAUCAUACAGCCAGCUAUUCCAGACGGGGCUUGAUCUAUGCCCUGCUAAUGGUCAUAGUGGAAACCAGGCCCCUCCCCCCACCCACACACACACACCCACCCACACACUCCCCACCCCCCACCCAGUAGUGCCAAAUACUUAUUAUCUGCCUUUAAUGCCUGCUCAGUGCAGGUUGAUGUACAGCAUAGUACUAUUUGGCAAGAAGGAGCCCUUGAUUUGUUGUGUGCAGCAGACAGACUCAUCUCAGACAAGGCACUUAACUCUGCUCGUGAGCGCAGUCUCUGCAGCUGGAGCUCCUCAACACUGUGUUCCAUCACAUUCAGAUGGGAGAACAGAAUAUCUGAGUGUUGUUAUUAUCAAACCAUCAAUGGCAGGCCCUGAUUAUUAAAUGAUGUUGCUUUUUAAUCAGUUUUACCUUUAUUUUACCAGGCAAGUCAAUUAAGUCAAGAAUUGAGCCUAUUAACACAUUUAUUUGCAAUAUCUGCCUGAUAAGAGAUACAGUGCUACUGACAAAAGGCCUCUCAUUAGGACAGGGAAUGGGAAAUUUAAGAUAAAAACUGGAUAAACAAUGUGAUGGAGAGAAUGACAAUGAAUUCAUCCAUCACAAACAGGUACAUCAAUAAAGGUUGAGAGUUUUAAAAGAUUAUCCAAAAUGCUAACAUGGCAGUCGUCAAACAAAAGGGAUGCUAAAGGUUUCUUUGAUUUUAUGUAAUUUUGUGUUUGGGACCCAUUUAUUUACAGCCAUUGAAAUAUAACUGAAUGUAUUGUAAGUCUCAAAUAAAUUGUAUAUAUUGUAGAAUAACUUAUUUUUCUAAUGUAUUGUACAGAUAGCAUGGCAAAGGAUUGCUUUUGAAACAAUCUUACAAUGUGCCAUUUAGAUAUGUUUAACAGGGCUGUACCAGUCAGGGUAUCUAACUUCUGAAUAUUAACCUAUAUGUUGCCACUAACUUCAUUUUGUCUUUCUUUUACUCACAGACAUUUAGAAACAGUAAGUUUUCAGUUGUUCACAUAAAACCUGUCCUUGCCUUUUCUCACUCAUUCAUUUUCUAGCUUAGAGUUAACACACUCUGCUCUUGUAAACCUGUAAUUUUAAGACUGACUCUCAUCAGUUUGUUUGGUCAUAUAACCUAAUUAGAUCCUCAAAAAGCUUUGUACCUCAGCUGAAUCACCUCUGACACCUCCCUGGCGCUGUUGUGUCCUCAGAGGGGGUUUUCUUAUUCACCCAGUAUGAGGACCACCUACCUAUCUAUGACUGAUGCCCAGAUCCGACACUUUGGGACUGACUUCCAGGUGUAGAUCUGUGCCUGCUAAUCACCACUCAGCGAGGGUCUGUCUGGGACUCACUGCAGAGGAGGCUGUGGUCUGAUCUGAGACUUUAGAGCUGGAGUUGGGACUUGUCACCUCUGGCUCUCAACAGUGCUCUUUACUCUCAGGGCUCUCAGAAACCUGUCAAGUACAGUCAUCCUGGAUGUGAGGUGUCAAUCUUACCUCACAACUCCUUAGGCUGUUGAUUCCCUAGACAGUUGCUGCCAUUGUAUGUAAAAAAUAAAAAAUAAGAGGGCAUGUGUUAGAGGCAGAUGAAGAGACUGUGAAAGGAUAAUGAACCAAAAGAACAAUGCUAGUAAUUUCACCUCCCAUGGAUGCAAGAAUAUUUCAAGGUAUGGAGACUCACUGAGAACAGAAAUAUGAUAUUGUUCUCAGUGCACGCUCACAGUGAAACAAUGUUAUCUCGCCAACUCAGACAAGACAGAGCUCUUAAAUGUAGAGGCCUUCCUUUUUUCCUCUGUGACACAAUGGAUAAAACAGACAAUAGACUCACUCCCUUUCUUUCAGAUACAUUUAUUCAUUGACAUCAAAGAUUAUGAACAAGUAUGGAGGCUUGGGGUGUUGAGAAUUACUUGUGAUUAAUAUGUGAUUUGUAUAUGUUUUAAAAGCAAGCAUGCAGGUUUUUUCUGUAAUUAGCUGUUGAACUGUGAUGACAUUGUGCACCUGUUUCUCUCACUCAUCCCAGUCAAUGUGCCUCACUUCGUGGAGGUUGAGUAAUGGAAUAUUCAACACAGUAAUAUGUGCUUGUACAUUGGCAUGAUAACCUUUAGCUGGAUGAAAUGGACACACUCAAAAAGGAAAAGAUGGUGAAGUAUUGUCAUGGAUUCAGAUCCCUGUUGGAAAAUAUAAGGAGGGAACAUAUUAAACAUUUUUAGAUAAUCUUUUCAACUGUUACCAUUCCGUGCCAUGUUCAAUAACUGGAUAUGCAUACAAAUAUACUGUACCGAGCAACAGCUUAGGUGUUGUACAGUCUGUAUUCUUGGUGACACUCUUUCUUCCUGAUAUUGGCAACUGCUUAAACGUAGGCUAAAUUUGAUGAAGUAAUGGACCAAUGUGUUGUGUGCAUAAAAUGAAUGAAAACAAAAACGUGUAUAGUCUUUAUUUUCCACAUUACUA